UAAAAUAUUCUAUCUUUUAUAAAACAAUAUUUUUAGAGUUAUACGUAAAUAAUCUUUGCAGCGUAAAAGCAAAAUAAAUUCAUACAUACUGUAAUACAGUAAGCCAGAGUAUUUAAUUUAAUUUACAAUAACCAGUGGGCCCUCGAAUAACCAAAAGUAAGGAGGACUGUGAACCUAUAGUUUGGAGGAUGCAAGUCCAAUGGUAGCCUCGAUGAAACCAACUAUCUACAGCCUAUUCGGAGCCUGAAAUGGGUGGAAAUGAGGGUGGUGAGAUUAUAUAAUCCCAGUGAGUAAACAAACAUCAUUCAAAAUAUCUAAAGUUGAGUAAAAGGAGACGAUUAAAAUAUUCCAUCAAAAUAUGUAUUUCAUAACAUAAACAUUCAUUUCAUUUAAAUAGUCAACAUGGCUUAUGAGUAUCUUAAAAGCUUGGCUCCUGCUAAAAUCAUUCUCGAGAAUACCUUCGUCGAGGCAUUUAACCGAGUUUGCUAAGGCUGUUAAAAAGUUUCGUAUACACAUAAACAUAUUUUUAGUUUGAAAAACAAAGUUGUUCCUUGGCGUUAGCGGAGUUCAUCAUCACGAGGUGGUUCGGCAUGACGUGAACUCUAACCAUACCUCAAGAGAUACCCUACACGCCUCUCCGACCGAGCUACAUAUAUAACCGGAUUUCGUGCCCCUUUAAUAGGCUGGUCCACAGAACCCGCCCACUGCAGCAAGCUAAACCCACCAUACAAUAAAAUUUUUGACAGCAUGACAUGGCUAAUAUAAUACUAUCCAGCCUAUAAAUGUAAAAUAGAGUAAUUCAUACAGUUCACAAAAACACAACCUAGCCAGUCAUGCCAACACAUUAACAUAAGCCAUCAAUUCAAAUCAUAAAUUUACAACGCCUCAAGUGGUCUCUAGUUACUCUAUUUUCAAAGUCAUCAUUCAAUUUCAAGACAAUUUAUAAAAUCUUUUCAUUUAAACAUACUUUUUUUAUAAAAUCUAAAAAUUAACCAUUUAAACUUUAUUUGUAUAAAAUUCACAAAAUCGAAUAAAAAGACCACUUUAGAUAAUUAAAAUGAUGAUAAGAUUACUCACUAUUUCGGGAGUCGAAUUUCUAGAGUACUCUAACUACCGAUCCUCGAGUACAAUUUCUUUGCCCUUAGCGGAGGAUUCACCACCUAGACAUGAUGCAAAAUCAAGCAAUUUACCACAUUGGUGCUAAACCAUUAUAAAACUAUAUGGAUGCAUGAAAUGGAAUGCAAAUUGUUCGGAUUAUCGUCUAAACACGAUGUUCGCCUAAUUCGAUCUAUCACUUAAUUAAUUGGCCAAUUCAACUCCAAUUAACUCCAUUUUUCUUCCAAUUCUCCAAACCAUCAAUCACAAAUCCAAUAGCAUAAAAUUUAGCAACAUCACCUUCACAUUUUCCCUUGGGAAUUUUUGCCAUGAUAAUUUUUUCCUACUUAAUUUUCUCAUCGAAAUUCAUUAUUUCCUAACCAAAUCACUUGAAAUAACAAUCAAAAUCAUCAUCAAUAUUCCACAUGGAGAAUUCGGCCAAUGAUGGGUAGUGGGAAAAAUGAAUUUUUCUUGUUGGUUUUUCAUGCUACACAUCAAUGACUAACUAAAAACACUAAAAUACAUUGAAAUCUAACCAAAUCAAGCAUCAAAACUCCUCCCCCCAUGUUCGGCCAAAAAGAGACCCAUCAUGAAACCAUGUGAUUCAACCAUGGAAAAUGCUAAAGAAUGCAUGGGAAAGGUAGAUUUCAAGCUUUAUUGAAAAAAUCUUACCAUUUUCACUUGUUUCCUUUAAUUUUUCACACUUUUCCUUUGAAUUUUUCCACCUAGGGUUCUUGUUCUUUCUUUUCUUCCUUUGUUCUUC
rnacentral:lncRNA from 1 species